GCCAUCGUAGCUCAGUUGGUAGAGCAGUUGAUUCGUAAUCAGCAGGUCACCAGUUCGAUCCUGGUCGAUGGCU
rnacentral:tRNA from 1 species